GUAAGAUCGCUACCACUGAUAUAACACACAUCCCCAGCCCUUUAUUUAUUUUUACCAGGCUGGGCCUUAAACUUUUGGUCCUCCUGCCUCAGCCUCCCUAGUAGCUAAGAUUACAAAUGUGUGCCACCACUCCUGGCUUCUCUUCUUGACCCACAAAAGACAUCACUUCCUUGAAGACUUGGCUCACUUUGAGGCUCCUGAUGGCUCCUUCCUGGGCAGAGGGCCAAAUUCUGACAAGAUUAAGAAGAGGUUCUGGGACUGGGCCAGGCUUGGAAAACAGGAAAGAUGACGAACUAAACUGCCCUCCUUCUGGGGAUUGUUUAUUCCAGUGUUCCCUCAACUGAGUUUUCUGGAUACAUGGCAACCCUUGACUUUUAACCCUCUCCUGGCCCUCUCCUGGCCCCCAGCUCAUAGUACAUCUCAGUCAUAGAGCUUAUUGGAUAGACUUGCUCCUGCGUCCACUUGGCCGAUUGCACUAAACUCCUGGAAAGCAAGAAGAACACAGAUCUCUACCGAGUGCCUACCAAGCCCACGGAGGAACCGGCUUCUCAAAUAAGCCUCUCUACAGCUCCUUUGGUCAGAUGCCUGUGGAAUAAAGUGGGGGAGACACAUGCACACACAGAUUCAGUUCUCCAACUUCAGGUUUCCAUCUUGAAAUACAAAACCACCCAGGACCCUGUCUUGGACAUGAACAGAAGGACAGCUUUGGAGAAGUGACAUGAACUAACAUUUUUCGAGUUGACAUCGCUCAAGAUAAAUGAUGCUGUGAGGCAUUUGUGCAAACAUCCUGACCCACAGUUUGCUGCUGAAGACUGCCUGCCAUGGGUGCCUUCGACACAGUGUUUUGCCUGGACUGAGCUGGAAUCCUGUGCUCUGGCCGGCAUCCCUCCUAACCCGGACAAAUUAAUUGGAAACAGAUGUCAAGCUGCGGGAGUUAAAUACAGACAUCUUACCAAAUGUCAGCCCUUCCCCGGGGCCACGAUGGAGUCCUCACUUCUCAUCCUCACCAGGGAGCUGGGAACAAGGCCCUUCACAUGCUGGUGGAAUGCUCUGCUGCCGUGGCCUGAUCCAGCCUGUUUUCCAUGGAGCACACCAGAAUGGACACCAGUGGCCAGGAGCUGCCUCUGUAAUCACGUCUCCUUGCAAAGGAUCAAUGCCUGCUCUUCUGCAAAGGGCCAGCAACAGUGUCAUCGGAAUGAGUUCAGGCCUUUCUGAGGGGGUCCUUUUGAGGCCAGCUGACCUAUGAAUGAGGGGGUGCUUAACAACCAAGCAGAAACAGCUCAGGCUCUGCCUGGAAAUGUGGGAGGCUGUGUGUGGCGCGUGUGUGUUCCAGGACGAUGAGAACUCAUCAAGACUCAUCCAGAUCUUUCUGGGAAGGGAUUCCCUAGGGUUCAUCAUCAUAGAGCUCACCUCAGCUAUGGACAAGCUGAAAGACCCCCUGAGAGUAGCCAGAGAUUGGGUCAAGUCAGUAAAUACCCACUCUGUGCUGUGUCAGACUCUGGGGGCAAAUGUUCACUUGGACUUGGAUACUGGCUUCUUGUAACUUGGUCUUCUUGGGUCUUCAGUUUCGUCAUCUAUAACAGAGCCAGUGUCCUCUAAGAGUCCUGAGAUUCUGUGGUUGUCUGAGGAAGGAAACAUGGCUUUCCCAACUUUGGUGCUAUUGGGCUGGAUGAUUCUUUAUUGUGGGGACUAUCUUGUCAUUGUAGGAUAUUAAGCAGCACUGCUGGCCUCUACCCAUUAGCUACCAGUAGCAACUCCCCAUUCCCAGUUUUGAUAAUAAAAAUGUCUCCAGACUUUAACAAAUAUUUCUCAGGGGGGUAAAACUAUCCUGGUAAGAACCACUGGUUUAAAAUCAUGACUGAGGCUCACACACGCCUGGCCAGGGGUUUUCCCAGGACUCUCUUAGUGAGCAGCCUUGGACUUGGCCCUGGGAUUUAUAGUCUUUAGGCUGAGGCUUGGGGCCUAGGUCUUCACUAUCCAUGGCUGCAUGAGACAAUGGAAUCCUAUCCUCUAAAGUCUUUCCUGCUCCAGGAAUUUAGGUCUCAUUAAUUCAGUGAUCAGGUAAGGUCUGAAUCUCACAGCUGGAAGCCCACUCUGUUGGGGGUUGGAGAGUGGCCUGAGGGGACAGGAACAAGGCUGGGGUCUGGAGGGUGUCAGGGGGCAUGGAGGGAAGGCCCUGGGCCUUACGUCACUUCGUGGUGUGCUUGGGCAAGUUCUCAGCUCUUUGUGUCCCAGUUUUCUCAUCAACGGGAAUGAUGGUGAUGACCCACCUUCCAGGAUUCUUAUAUCAGUGGAUCAGGGAGGAUCCCACCUGAAAGUGCUUCUAUGAAAAGGAUGUGCCAAAGGGACUAUUCACACAGUUAGGCCAGGACAAAGGGAAUGAGAGGGACUGUGAGGCACACCUGGGCUGGCAAAAGCAGGAAAUGAUUAUCCUUUCUCCUCACUGGGUUGAAGGGGCUGGGGCAGGGCGGUGGCUGGGGCAGAUAUAUACAGAGGACUGAGAGUUGGCAUCUUAGAGCCCCUCCUCCCUGCCCACCUGGCUCUGUAGCCAAACAGCUGCAGUCACAGUGCAACUGGGCCAGGCCCUCUCGUGUCUUGCUGGUGCUUCUCACUUCCGAGGCCCAUAGCUGGGGGCCAGGGGAUCGAGGUGUGCAGCAAGUAGAGGUCAGUUUCCUGGGCAUGGCACCUGUCAGAAAAGACCAGGGAAUAGGUCUGGGUAGGGGUGGGGUGGGAGAGGUGCCAGCCAGGGCAACCAGCAGAGCGAGGAGAAGGAGGGCGUGGAUAUUUGCCAAGUGCUUAGAACAGUGUUUGCACGUGGUGUUGGAGGAAGGAAACCUGUGCUAGCCUCUGGGGGUACAAGACAUGUUAAGUCAACUCCUGCAGCACCUUCCGUGUGGGAAGCUCCAGGCUCUUCCUUCUGGAGCUGGCUGUGGUGCGGCCCCAUGUGGGGGACAGGUGCCUAGUCUGGUGCCCACUGCACAGACACAUUCCAUGGAAGUUCACCUGGGCCUCCCCACCCUGGUGGACACAGCCAUCAGAUUCAUUCAUGGUGUUCCUUGGCCCUACUCCAUCUCUCCUGCCUUCCCUGGUCCCCCAUCUCAUGCACUUUGGCCAUGACCCCGCCUGUGGACCAGAGGUGGACCAGUGGCUGAGGCCUAGGAAGCCCUGCCUGGGGCAGGCGGGUCCAGCCUCUGUCCUGUCCUCAGAGUCCCUGGGCACUGAGGGGAUUUCCCUUGGCCUUUGUGAGGCUCCUCUGAGUCGACCUGUGCAUGGGAUGGGAGUCCCACUGGGGCUCCUGUGGGACCUGUGCUCCUAGCUGCCUGCAGGGGGUUAACUGAGCUACUCAGUGCAGAGGGGUUCACCUUGCAGGUGGGAGAGGCGGAGGAGGACAAGGAUACAGCCCUUCAUGAGCAUGCCUGCUUCCUCUGCCUGUCCACUCUGCUGGCUGGGCUGCCCUGUUGGUGGGAGUGGCCCUCUCCAGUCUACCUGCCUGGUCAGUGCUGUGGGCAGGCCAUAGCCUCUUCCCUUGUCCUUUAUCAAAGCAAGAGGUGGUGCAGGAACGUGGAGUGGGGCUGGACUACAGCUGCGACAGCACCACUGACCUCCCAUACUGCAGCUGGCAGUAGACCAAAGCUUUGAGCUGAGCAUGUGCAAACUCUGGGCUCAGCCCCUGGCUUACUUGAUUUCAUUUUGUCUUUCCAUAGCCCUUGGGUUGGCACUUCUGCUAUCUCACUGUAAAUGAGGAAACUAAGGCACAGAGAGUUAAGGUCUGGCUUGUAUCACACAGCUAAUAUGUGGUAGAGCUGAGAUCUGAGCUCAGGUCUGACCCCCUGUGCCGCUGAUCUGUGCUGCCUCCCCUCCCAGGUCCUGCCUUCUUGCUCCCGAGGGUGUCAUCAGGCCUGGGUCUCUGUAUGGAGGGGACUGCAGCUCGGAAAUGAGGCUGGCUUGGGAACGUUUUUCCACACGACCCCCCCUGCCCCCACCCCGUGCAGCUGUGUAAUGAGCCCACAUCUGUUACCACCACAUGUUGCUCGGCGCUUCGCAGAUGUAAAGUCUCAAUUUUUCUAAUUAGCAGCAACACGAAGUCUAUCUUAAUUUUCUCCUCCCCUCCCUCUAAUAAACGUGAUAUUAACAAGGUUA